rnacentral:lncRNA from 1 species
CGCCCAGGGUCUUGAGGGGCUCCGAGGCUCGCGGCGCACAUGCGUACUUCGUUCUCCGCGCGUCUGCCUCGGGUUCCAAGGAAGCAACCUCGAAGUGUGGAGCAGAAUCGCACCCUGUGGUCAUGUAUUUUGGGAUUUCUUGGCAUCUCAGAACUCAAGGCCAGGUUCCAGCCCCCUUGGAAGAAAGCAGCUUUUGUGAAGUAAGAAUGAAGGAAGCCCCAGGAAUAGGAAUCCCACCGUGAAGAUUGCUCCUCUGACCUCAGAUUUCUCACCACAGCUUUAGAGCAGAGGCAGGAAACUGGUAGUAAGGAGCAAGGCCUUGGUUUUCAUAAUCUGAAGUAGCAGCUCUUUAUUCUGCUCAGAAUGAGCAUGGCCUCACUUUCCCCAUACUCAGAGGGUCUCACGAUGAUGGUGAAAAGUCUGGACCAAGCUUCAGAAAAAAUAGCUGUACAUUCAACCUUCUCUGUACUUUACCAAAAGGAACAGAAAAAGAACAAAUCCCAGGACAUUGCAUUACCAAACCAGAGGAGAUCUUCAAGUUAGAGCAAGAAGCACCAUGGGUGUUAGAGAAAGAAUUUGCAAGCCAGUGUUACCCAGAAGAAUUGAAAGUUGAUGGCAUGAUAGAGAGCAAAGAAAAUCAAGACAGACAUUUAUGGCAAGAUGCAUUUUUCAAUAACAAGAAAGUAAUUACAGAGAGAGAAUGUAUUAAGGAAAACAUUUAAUUUGUACAUAGACUGUAUUUCUUCUAGAAAAAUCUCCGGUAAAUAUAAUCUAGAUGGAAUCAGUUUAGAAAAUACGUCAUAGUUAACCACUAAUAGAAUAGAAACUAUUUAGGAAAGAAAUCUGAUGAUGCCAAUGGGUAUGAGAAAUUGCUUUCUGAUAUUAUUAAUCAUGAGAAAACUCAUACUAGUGAGAAGUUUAAUGAAAUUAAGAAAAAUGAGAGCAUCUUCUAUCAUAGUGAGGAUUUUAUUCAACAACAAAAGAUUCACACUGUGGAGCAACUGUUUGAAUAUAAUGAAUGCAUUAAAGCCUUCCACAGUAAUGCUCUCUUCAUUACACAUAAGGGA